UUGAGCCAUCUCCAAGCGUGGCCGAGCAAGUUCCCCGGUGGGCGAGAGCGCCAACGUCAUGCUUCUCGACGUCCUCGGGGUCGAAACCCAGGUGUUCAAAGGGAUCAAAAUGGUGCAGUAUCGACUCUACUACUAAUACUCCCCUACAGGGAUUUGAUUGCAGCAGCAGCAGCUCGUUGCAGAGAAGUACAAGGAAACAUCAAAGAUUUGCAAUCAGUUUUGACGAGGAUGCUCCAUAUGAUUACUGAUCUGUUAUUGUGUACGUGAAGCACUGAUACGGCGGGACCAAUACGGCGACACGGGUACGGCGAUACAGGAUACGGAAAUUUCAGAAAAUAGC